CAGCUAAUCUUAGCUUGAACCAACCCUCCUCAUCAUCAAGCCACUUGGUUCCAACCCCUCAGGUAAUUAUAAUAUAUACAUGUAUAUUUUUAUGUGUAAUAUGUUUUCAAUUAUACAUAGUUCGAGCUGUAUACAAGAAUUGACAUUGAUUUAUCAUUUGUAGAGAGACUUGGUGAACAAGGGGAAUUCUACGAGUUGCACUAAUGUGACUCAAGUUCUUCUUAAGAGUAUUGUAAGGCCUGGGGAUACUGUAGCUAAAGGAACCGUUUUGAGCACGGAUCCAUUGACAAAAGUAGGGGGGCAAAAACUUGGAGUUGGUUUCUGGGAAGUAUCUGUUCAAGUGGCAAUCGUACGUGAUGAGGAUUUGAUAAGGACCCAUGGACGAUAUAAAACAAUUGGGGAUGCAAUUGGAAUGAGUAUUGCUUGGCCCACUACUUUAUGUAUGGGUGCAGACAGAAAUGGAUGAUGACUACAUGAGAGAAGUUUUUAUUAAGUAUUUGGAACUGUAAACAUCUUUUGUAAGUGGGGGUAGUAGGGAUAUGUGGUUUCAGACUUUUGGAUUGAGUUAGACACAUCUAAACAAUUUAUUUUUAUUUUAGUUUAAUUAUAGAGGGCACAUCUAAACUCAUCUAAUCUCUUUAAUUUAAUCUUAGUUUUAUAAGAUUAUGAUUUGUGAUUUGAAUUUUGCA